UGGCUGAUGGUGAAUGGAAUGCACUGCGG
rnacentral:piRNA from 1 species